rnacentral:pre_miRNA from 1 species
UGUUAAAAUUUCAUCAUUUUUGUACUGUUAAAAACUAGCGUGGCUGACAGAAUAAUCAAAUAGUGUGCCACGUAUACCUCAUGUUGAUGUACAUAGAUCAAUUUUUAACAGUAGAAAUGAAAGGAAUUUUUAUA